rfam:Felis catus isolate Cinnamon breed Abyssinian chromosome X, whole genome shotgun sequence.
GCCUGGGUGGCUCAGUCGGUAAGCGUCCGACUUCGGCUCAGGUCACGAUCUCACGGUUCGCGGGUUCGAGCCCCGCGUCGGGCU